rnacentral:rRNA from 1 species
CACGUAGGGCGCAAGCGUUGUCCGGAAUUAUUGGGCGUAAAGAGCUCGUAGGCGGUCUGUUACGUCUGCUGUGAAAACCCGGGGCUCAACCCCGGGCCUGCAUUCGAUACGGGCAGACUAGAGUUCGGUAGGGGAGUCUGGAAUUCCUGGUGUAGCGGUGAAAUGCGCAGAUAUCGGGAGGAACACCAGUGGCGAAGGCGGCUUCCUGGCCUGUUCUUGACGCUGAGGCGCGAAAGCUAGGGGAGCAAACGGG